AUGGACAUUGCUCUCCUGACCCGAUGGCUAUGGUGUAUCGCCAACGGGGAGGGCGGCCUCUGGCUCACCAUCAUCCAGAGUAAGUACCUUCGAGGCCAGCCUCUAGCUUUCUGCUAGCGCUCUGGUGGAUCCCAGUUCUGGCAAGCUGUGAUUCAGCUCCUUCCCGUGCUCCGUAUUGGCACGUCCAUCUCUGUGGGUUCCGGGUCCUCGACCCUAUUUUGGUUCGACCGCUGGCUUGGGGAUUCCCCUCUGGCCGCCCGCUUCCCGGGCCUAUUUGCCAUUGUGGCUGACCCCUGGAUCUCCGUCGAGAGGGCCCUUAUUGAUUUAGGGUGUCUCGCCUUCUGGCGCCCCUUUGGCCCCACUAGUAGACAAAGGGCCUAUUGUCCCGGUUGGUGA
rnacentral:rRNA from 1 species